UUUUUUUCUGCUGACAAAUGGCCCUUAUUGGAGCCAUUUUCUAUGCAAACACAAUAACAUUACUAAUAUCCAGCUGGGAUAAAAGCUCAAUUUUGUUUGGUUCUAGUUCAUUUUAUUCAAAUACUUAUAUUCUUAAAAAGAAAGAAAUAAUAUAAUAAUUGAAUUUGGACAUUAAAAUCUACUUGCUUCUUAAAUGACAUGAAAAGGACACAAUUUGAAAUUUCAUAAAAAGUAAUGUUUUUAAAAUGAUCACACUACUUUGUUUUAGAUAAAAGGGUUAAAGUUUCCGUGAUUAACCAUUAUUACCGCAUUGACUCAAGUCUCCGAUUUCCUAUUUCUGCUUCUCACAAACCCGAGCAACAGAUUUCUCUGAACAUAGUUAAAAGAAAUAAUUUGUGGAAACCUACAAGUCACAUCACACUCACUAGGUAGUAAUAUUUUUACAUAUUUUAAAAAUAUGUAAGUUUGAUUUAUUUGCAACAAGUAGAGAAUUCUCUUCUUAUGUAUAAUGUUAUUUUUCAAUGCCUUUCCUGAUACUAAUGAACAUUUUUAAAAUAUGGAAAAUUCAGCAUGACAAAUAAUUAUCAUAACUGGUUUAUUUCAACAUAAGUUAGAUAGCCUAUUUGUUAAAAUAGUCAGGUGUUCUUCAAUCAAAUUUAAAUAUCAAUUCAUUAUUUUUAUAGUUUAUAAUUAUAAUCUGCAUGACUGCAGUAAUUUGCUUGUAUGCUAAUAACACCAGGAAUUUCCUUACUCUUUUUGUUCUUUCACAGUAAUUUUCCUGAGUCAUGGUAUUUCAUUUAAUUUUUCUUAAAUUCCAAAUGUAAGAGACUGGACUCAGGAUGUAUUUCAUAAAGUUCGCAAUCUCUGGAAUUUUUUCUGCUCAAUAACUCAACAAGAGACAUUAACGAUUUUCAAGACAAAGAUGUUGUUAUGAGGCUAAUUGUAAGCUUUUAGUUUUUCCUUCUCCUUUUCUCUCAUUUUUCACUAUCUGUAGAUAAAAUUCUUCCUCUUUCACACAAAGAACAAAGCAUGUGACUUAUAGGUGUUAAUAUGUCCCACUAAAUCCCACGGAGAUCUAAUAUGAUAGAUAUUCUGAUUAUUAUAAUUUUACAAGUGUUCGCCCUGAGACUGGGUUGCUUCCAAUAUACCAUUUUUUAAAAUAUUUACUCAUGAAAGACACAGAGAGAGAGAGAGAGAGAGAGAGAGAGAGAGAGAGGCAGAUACACCGGCAGAGGGAGAAGCAGGCUCCAUGCAGGCAGCCCGAUGUGAGACUCUCUCCGGGGACUCCAGGAUCACACCCCAGGCUGAAGGCAGGUGCUAAACUGCUGAGCCACCUAGGCAACCCCUCCAAUAUACCAUUUUGAAGUAUGAGUUGGGAUUCAUAUUCAUACUUUCUGAUAACAAAUGUCAUAUCAUUCCACACAUCCAGACUGCCUCUUUUAAUGCAUCAAGAAGACAAGCUAUGAACCUAGCAUAGAAACAAUAUCAAAUGUAAUUAUAGAUUUAAACUAUUUGAAUUUGCAUUCAUUUUGUCUGAAAACAAAUUCUAGAUGUUCCAUUUUUGGAAAAUUGUAUUUUAUUUUGAAAUACACAUUUAUAUUUUUAUAAAUUAAUAUUCACUGUUUUAUAUAUCGUAAGUGUAUUUAAAUAAAACAUCUGGAAAUUAAACUAUUUUAGUUAGCUAUGGUUAUUCAUUAGAGAAAGAAUCAUUUAAGAAGAAGCCUCUUCUCCAGUUAUAAUAUGACACUGAAUUUUUACUUCAUCAAUUGUUAGAUUUUUAUCAAUUUACAAAAGGGGUAACAUGCAAAUAUGGUAAUAAGGCCUUUUUCUCAAAUGCUUUAUAAGGUAUCAAGUAUGUCAAUCACCCAAACAAUCCGACAUCUUCAAUGAAUUAUUAUUUAAACAGGUCAAAUUAGGAGAGGCUUAGAUAAGAAGCACAAGUAAGCAAAAAAAGUUUUCACAAAAUAUUGAAAAUGUGAAGGCUGAGAAUAAUAUUUCUAAGGAAGAAAUGUAAUUAUAUUUUACAGAUAUGAAUAUUGUCAAUGAGAUUAUAAAAUCAAGGCAUUAUAGCUUUUACAAUCAAUUAUUUACUUUUAUUUAAUUAUUUCCUUUUAUAUAAUUAUUACUAGGAUUGUUAAUAUUAAGAAUUAAUUAUUGCUUGGGAAAAAAAUCUGUACUGUUCUCUUUGCUUUUUCUUUUCCCACUUCCUCUCAAAUGUACUCAAACCAGGUGUUUAUUUCCUCCAUACCUAUCAUUCCACUUAGAAAAUCUUGACAAAAUAACAGUGAAAUCAAAAUAAAGUCAAUACUAAGCUUUCAUCUUAGCAGAUUUAAGCAGGCUUUGCUAUGGCUAUUCACUUCCUUUAUUAAAAAUUAUUUUUAUAAUGCAUCUGAAUCACCAUUCUUAUGUUUGUCUUUCAUUUUCUGUAAUUACUCCUUCUCAAACUCUUUUCUAUUUCUCCUCCUCUCUAUAACCUAUAUUUUAGUCUAUAUAAUUUUUCCUUACCCUGUCUUCUUUUAAAUUAUUAGCAUGAAACACCAGUGAAGACUCCCAAUUUUUAAAUCGCUAGCCAACUCCACUUUCUUAAACUCCAGACUCAUAUGUCCAACUGCCUAUUUUACAUCUUUACUUAUAUAUUAAAUAGGAUUCCAUAUUUUCUGAAAAUAAACCCUAAUCUCCCCCAUUUGAAAUCUGCCACUUUCUCAAUCUCAAUAAGAAGAAACUCCAUCUUUCUGGUUGCUUUGACAAGCCCCACCUUUCAGUUACACAGGCACAAAGCACUGGUGAUAUCUAUACUUUGUGUUUUCUUUCAUGUCAUAUGUCAACCAUCAACCAAUACCUAAAAUGUAAAUUAAAUCAUGACAUUUGUCAGUUCAAAAUCCUCUAACAUAUUCUUACCUCAUAGAAAGUAAAAGCUAAAUUCCUUAAAAUGACUCGUGUUGACUAAUUUUUCUUUCCCACCAGAUCUGAUUUUAUUUUUUACCUUCCCCAUCCUCACCAAACAAUAACAGCAAGAAAAUAAAUUUUUUUAAUGAAAUUAUUCAGGAGGCAACCAACUGUUCUUGGCAGUAAGAGGGAUAUUUGCCACUCCCUGAGACAUGGUAGGUAACAUGCCCAACUCAUUACUGUGAUUUGAGUAUAACUGACUCUUGUUAUGCCCCCCAAUACAAAUUGAUAGUGUAGGAGCCCAGGGAAGUUUCCCCAAGAUGGGUCACUUUGGCAUAAAGAUUAUUUUGUGUUAGAAGUAAUCAAAACCCAGAAGAUGUAGGAAAAGCUCACAGCACUCCCCUCAACUACCUAAACUUUGGAAAGGACAGCCCUUACCAGGAAAGAGCUAUUAACAAGACUCUCCUUUACCUAAGAACUUACCUGCAUAAUAAUUUUUUUUGUUUUUCCAAACAUCUUUUGACCUUCUUGCUAAUGACUUUUUCCCCUUUGUGUCCUCAAGUCCCUACCCCCUCCUUAGCUCAUAUAAGCUUCAUCUUACCUCAUUGUUUUUGAAAUUUCAUGUCUGUGUGAAUUCCCUGUACAUAUGGCUAUUAAAUUUUGUUUUCUCCUGUUAAUCUAUCUCAUGUCAAUUUGAUUCUAUGUCUGGCCAGAAGGACCAUAGGGCAGAGGAAGAUCUUCCUCCCUGAUAACAGCAAACACAAAAGGCAAUUCAAUACAGGUAAUUUUAAAAAGAAAAAUGACAUUCAGGUAUACAGUUGUCUGGUGAAACUCAAUACAAAGAUAAAUUUUGGAACACUUAAGUUAAACAUUUUCAAACAACUAAGAUAAAUGUUAUAUAGUAGAUAUUUUUUGUGUUAUCUCUUUGAAGAUGUUUUGUUUUAAUAAUGGUAUAAAAUUAACACAUACUUAUACUAAUGCAGGUUGAGAGGGCUAUUUUCAAAACAUAUACAGAGAUUUAAAAAACUAUUACAUUAAUUCAAUUUUCACAAAAAAUAAGAUCAUGAAUUUAAUUUAAAUUAAAAUAUAUAACAUGACAUAGACUAUUCUGAAAUAUGAUUAUAGUUUAACAAUUAUUACAAAUUUAAUAUCAUAGCAAUUAUUGAAAUAGUAAAGAAAGCAAAAUUUAGUAUAGUUUUAAUUUUUGCUUUCUUUAAUUUGACUUUACAUAGAACACAGAAAUAAUUCUUUUCAUUAAACCUUAGGUAUUCUUAAAAAUAUUUCUCACACAUCUUCAUCUUUAUUCUUUGAAAAUCCUCAGGUAGAAAAAAAUAGAUGUUUCUGGAAAAAGUAUGUGACUUACUUUUUUUACUGUAAUAUUUACAAACCAAUUUAAGUUCUAUAUGUAUAAUAUGCAUUUCAAAAAUUUCUUGUAAGAUUAUGCUUAUCCUCAUUUAUCAUACAACUAAAUAUUAGGAAAAUAUUAAGUGUAUUGCUUCUUUUCAACACAAUUUACAGGGAAAAAUUGUCAAAACUGUACACUCUAAUUUCCCUUCCAAUUUCAAAGGAUAUUAACAAAUGCUCUGCUUUAAAAUUAUUCUCUUUAAUUUUAUAAAUUCACUUAAAUUUUAAAGCAGCAAAACACAAUAAUUUGAAUAUUUACCUAUAACUUAAGACUUUGUGAUUCUUAUAAAUCAGUACCCAUAAGAAUGUUUCUGUCUUAUGUUAAUUGCCUUUGCUCUUCUUUCUAUACCCAUUAUUUAUUUGAACAGCUAAAUUCUUCUUCCUUUCUAAUUGUUUGGUUCCUAGACAUGGGUAAAAUUGUUUAUAUAUAUAUAUAUAUAUAUAUAUAUAUAUAUAUAUAUAUAAUGAUAGUCACACAGAGAGAGAGAGAGAGAGAGAGGCAGAGACAUAGGCAGAGGGAGAAGCAGGCUCCAUGCAGGGAGCCCAACGUGGGAUUCGAUCCGGGUCUCCAGGAUUGCGCCCUGGGCCAAAGGCAGGCGCUAAACCGCUGCGCCACCCAGGGAUCCCGUAAAAUUGUUAAUAAAUCAAAAAAAUGUAAUAGCAAUGGAAAUGUAAGACUAAUAAUAAAAUAAAUAUUAGUUAAGGUAUUCCACCACAGUUUUUAUCCUGCUUGGCAUACCUCUGGGAGGUCGAGUCCUUCAAAAAAAUGAAACAUCUGUCAAAUAAUUUCUUUUGACUAUUUUACACCUAAUAGAUAAUUUGAUAUUUUUGGCCGAACCAUUCUAGGGUUUUAUGUAUUAUAUACAAUAAUUUAAUAUGUUUGUGGAGCUUACUAGUGUGUGCAGACAUAUCCCUCCAAUAAAUUGAAUUAUAGGGUUAUCUAAAAAAAGUUACUUUUAUUCCAAGAUUAAGGUUAGAGUAAGAAGGCUCACACAUUAACUGAAGAAAUUUGUUGUAGGAUUCAGUGUGUUUUCAAAAAAAAAAAAAAUGACUGUAUAGUGAUUACACCUCAGUAGCAGAUGCUGUUAAUGUCCCAAUCCAUAAACUCUAAAUCCAUCUACAUUCACAGAGGACAGCUCCUGUGUUCAUUGACAUUUUCCAUCCCCUGGGAUAUGCAUUGCAUCGCUGCUUCUCUGCCUCAAGGUUUUCUCUGGCACCAGGGAAGCUUUUUUAGCCAAAGCAGGGCAACCCAAAAUGGCCCCGGGAUUUAACACUCAGCCACAUCAGUCAACACUCAUCCAAGGAGAUCAAUGAAUGACACAUUUAACCAAGUUUCCUAUCUUUUUGGUGUGAUAAUUAUGAGGUAUAUUCUCAGUGGUGCAUAAUAGAGUUCCAGCCACUUGUAUCUGUUGACCUGCUCAUAACUGUGCCUUUUCUGGACUUUUCUGCCUUCUAUGUUUUGCUUUCCUCAUCUCUCUUGUGUUUCCGGGGAUCAUCUCCUUCAUGAACUAUGAACACCGUAGUUUCCUUUCUUAUCAGGGUAUGCUUGAGGCAUCCAAACAGAAAUGACCUCCAGAUA
rnacentral:lncRNA from 1 species